CAGCCGCCGCGGGAAUACAGAGGGUGCGAGCGUUAAUCGGAUUUACUGGGCGUAAAGCGCACGCAGGCGGUUUGUUAAGUCAGAUGUGAAAUCCCCGAGCUUAACUUGGGAACUGCAUUUGAAACUGGCAAGCUAGAGUCUUGUAGAGGGGGGUAGAAUUCCAGGUGUAGCGGUGAAAUGCGUAGAGAUCUGGAGGAAUACCGGUGGCGAAGGCGGCCCCCUGGACAAAGACUGACGCUCAGGUGCGAAAGCGUGGGGAGCAAACAGGAUUAGAUACCCGCGUAGUCCCUGUCUCUUAUAC
rnacentral:rRNA from 1 species